AGCCAAUACAACCCUAUGCGCAGGGGUGUCUCAACUAAACCCCUAUAGUCCAUGUUUUGCUUCAAGUAAGCCCCUCCGUCUAACGGAUACUUAACUCCGUCCGUCUUUUAUUUUNUUUUUUAUUUUUUUAUUCCGUGGGGCCCACCAUUAAUAGUUGGCGCGGUUUAGUUACCCCCUUAUAAUUUGGGGCUUCUCUGAGAAAUGACGAACCCUAAAUCGCGCGACUAGGGUAUCAAUAAUUGGCCGAAGAUUUCAGUUUUUGGUGAAAUUAAUAGAGGGUUUCACCGGAUUCUGAGAUUUCGAGUGGAGUAAUGAGUUUGAAUUCCGUCUCCGGUGGUUCUGCCUCGAGCUCGUGGCGCGGCCGACGUCAGUUUGGGGGCUCCGAUAAUACAAUGUAUUGUGAGUGUGAAGUGGAAGGCCAGAAGAUAAGGGCUUCGAUAAUGACAUCAUGGACGGAUGAAAACCCUGGUAGAAGGUUCUAUGGAUGUCGAAAUUGGAAGGUAUAGUUGUAUGUUCCAUUACUUGUUAUGUUUUUUUUGAUUUAGUUGAAAGUGAUGGGAUUUGAAAUCCACUGUUAUUGUCUGACCAUUACUAGAAGAAGAAUUGUGGUUUUUUUGAUUGGAUUGACGAGCCAAUUAAUGGAAGAG
rnacentral:lncRNA from 1 species